ensembl:lncRNA
UUCCAUUUGAAGAUCAAAUAGAAGUUAUCUACUGAAGCUGACAAACAGGGGCAGAAUAAUCUGUUUGCAUUUUUGGGAAAUGGAUAGCUCUGGUUUUGUUUCAAGAAAUACAGAUGCAAAAGCAAGACCUGGAUAAAUGAGACAAGUAUUGUUCCUUCAAGCAGAAUGUCCUGACUUCAAGACAGAAUACACGCCAUCAUCCCUUCGGCAAGCAGGAGGACGGGGUUCCCACGUUAGCAGCAGCAGCAGUAGGGAUUCCUAGAAAGACGCAGUGCCUUCGGGUGCCCAACCCAUCCCCGCGCCCUGCUGGGAUGCAUGGCCAUUGCGGUGUGCAGGGAGAGUGAUCCCAAAACACAUCCAGCGCCACACCAACCUGCGAAUGGCGGUGGCACAUCUUCAAACCUCCCCGAAACCCAAGGCGGAAUUUCACCCUUUCCCACUUGUAUAGCUGCAAACAAACGCCGUGCUUGGCCUGAACGCGUCAGCGCGUGGGUUGUAGGGCCACACAGAGCCCCCGUUUCGUUGUGCAGCAGCAGCAGCCUGCUGCACCCCACAGCAUAUCUGCAUUUUCCUAUGGCAGGAAGGUGCAGCAGUGGGGCCACUGUAGCAAAAUGCCUCCACACCCUGCUCCAUCCACAGCCAAAUACGAAACACCAAUCCAAGAGUUUUCUUCAAGCUAUAAAAAUAAAGCAAAGUUGUUCCCAGGGAACAGAGAAAAAGUCAAUUCCACAGUCCCUGCACAGUUAUAAGCGCUCUCCAUAAGACUGAAUGCUUUUUUCUGCCUCGGAACAGCCCUCUCUGAUCCAGCAGAGCAAAGUUUGUUGAUAUUCGGGGUUGCAAACCCAUGUGUUUACUCAGGCUUUUGUCUGUCAGCAGAGUUUGAAGAGGUCGCUUUGAGAGAUCAAUAUUUUUUCCUGGGGGUUUCUUCAGAGCUACCACAAUUUGUUAUUGCGUCUGUUUAGAGGCUUUAAUUUGUGGUUUUCAAGAUUGCAUAACUGAGCAGAGAGGUGGUGAGAGGCCCACAUGAAGAGUUCAAAAUAAAUUUGACAAUAUAGUAAAUAUCUGCUCAGUAAUUUUCCCUGGUCUGAAUGCCACAGAAUGCCAACAGAGCCAUUAGUCAGGCUGGGUAUGAAGGUGCCUUUAUGGGAUCAGGGCACAUGUUUCCAUCCAGAUGGUACAGAACUGGAUUCACCUCACACGUCACUGACACCAACAGAGGACGUCCCUCUGGGGGCUCCCACCCGGGUGCCCGUUUAUAGGUUGCUCUAAAAGGCGUUGCUUUGAACCAGAUAUGGAAAAAUUAAAAUGAGACUUUAAUUUUGCCCUUUGCUCAGAGUUCUCAUAGUAAUUUACAUCAAAAUGAACCGAACCGCUCGCCUCCCAUAAGGCGGCCCAGGGGUUGAUUGUAUAUCAGUCCUGCAAACAUCAGCUGGGAGGUGUGGGGAUGCACACGGGGAUGCGUUCACUGCAGAUGGGAACUGUGGCCCCACAGGUCAUUGGGGGGCUGCAGGUGGAAGCCCAGCACUGACACCAUACAGAAAUGGGGUUCUCAGCACGGACGCUGCAUGGCAUCCUCCAGCCAAGCAUCCCCGGCUCCGGGAGGAAGCACCUGUAAGCGUGGUCUCAGGGCACUGUGUGAAUGGGUGACGAGUUGGGGUUGGACUUGAUGAUCUUAGCAGUGUUUUCCAACCUUAAUGAUUCUAUGAUUCUACGACUGCAG